AUGUUGCGUUUCAUGGAGGUAACAUCUAAAGGAACUGGUUUAAAUCCUAAUGCCAAAGUAUGGCAAGAAGUUGCUCCUGGAAAUACUGAUGCCACCCCAGUAACUCAUGGAACUGAAAGCUCUUGGCAUGAAACAGCAGCUACAUCAGGUGCUCAUCCUGAGGGUAAUGCAGAGCUCUCAGAAGAUACAUGUAAAGAAUAUGAAGUAAUGUAUUCUUCGUCUUGUGAAACCACAAGAAAUACUACAGGCAUUGAAGAAUAAACUGAUGGGAUGAUUUUAGGACCAGAAGAUCUGAAUUACUAAAUAUAUGAUGUUUCUGGAGAAAGCAAUUCAGCAAUUUCUACAGAAGACCUAAAAGAAUUCUGAAGAAACAAUUAGAAUUCUGUUUUUCAUGAGAAAAUUUGUCAAAGGAUCUUUACUUGAUAUCUCAAAUGGAUAGUGAUCAGUUCAUCCCAAUUUGGACAGUUGCCAACAUGGAAGAAAUAAAAAAGUUUACUACAGACCCUGAUCUAAUUCUUGAAGUGUUAAGAUCUUCUCCCAUGGUGCAAGUUGAUGAGAAGGGUGAGAAAGUGAGACCAAGUCACAAGCGUUGUAUUGUAGUUCUUAGAGAGAUUCCUGAAACAACACCAAUAGAGGAAGUGAAAGCUUUGUUCAAAAGUGAAAACUGCCCUAAAGUGAUAAGCUGUGAAUUUGCACACAAUAGCAACUGGUAUAUCACUUUCCAGUCAGACACAGAUGCACAACAGGCUUUUAAAUACUUAAAAGAAGAAGUUAAAACAUUUCAGGGCAAGCCAAUUAUGGCAAGGAUAAAAGCCAUCAAUACAUUUUUUGCUAAGAAUGGUUAUCGAUUAAUGGAUUCUAUUAUCUAUAGUCAGCCCAUUCAAACUCAAGCACAGUAUGCCUCCCCAGUCUUUAUGCAGCCUGUAUAUAAUCCUCACCAACAGUACUCGGUCUAUAGUAUUGUGCCUCAGUCUUGGUCUCUAAAUCCUACACCUUACUUUGAAACACCACUGGCUCCCUUUCCCAAUGGUAGUUUUGUGAAUGGCUUUAAUUCACCAGGAUCUUAUAAAACAAAUGCUGCUGCUAUAAAUAUGGGUCGAUCAUUCCAAAAAAAUCAUGUGAGGCCUCAUUUUAGGUCAUCCAGUGGUUCAGAACACUCAACAGAGGGCUCUGUAUCCUUGGGGGAUGGACAGUUGAACAGAUCUAGUUCAAGAAACCUUCCAACUGAACGGCAUAACCCUCAAGUAACUGGGCAUCAGGAGCAAACUUACCUUAAAAGGAGACUUCCACUUUGCAGAUGGAACAGAACGGGGACUAUGGUAGGGGCAGGAGAACUCUCUUCAGAGGUCGAAGACGACGAGAAGAUGACAGGUUCUCAAGACCUCAUCCUUCAACAGCUGAAUCAAAGGCUCCAACACCAAAGUUUGAUUUGUUAGCCUCAAAUUUUCCACCUUUACCUGGAAGUUCAUCAAGAAUGCCAGGUGAACUCAUUUUGGAGAAUAGGAUGUCUGAUGUUGUUAAAGGUGUCUACAAAGUAAAGGAUAAUGAAGAGUUGAGAGUUAGUUGCCCAGUGCCUGCAGAUGAGCAGACAGAAUGCACUUCUGCCCAACAACUCAAUAUGAGUUCCAGUUCUCCAUGUGCUGCUGAGCUUACUGCAUUAAGCACAAUUCAGCAAGAAAAGGAUCUAAUAGAGGAUUCCUCUGUUCAGAAGGAUGGUCUCAACCAGACAACUAUGCCAGUUUCUCCUCCAAGUACUGCAAAGCCAUCGAGGGCAAGUACUGCUUCACCAUGUAAUAAUAACAUAAAUGCAGCUAUAGCUGUGGCUCUACAGGAACCCCGAAAGUUAAGUUAUGCUGAAGUGUGCCAGAAGCCCCCUAAAGAGCCAUCUUCAGUUCUUGUGCAGCCACUAUGGGAACUUCGCUGUAAUGUGGUGUCUCCCACCAAAAAUGAAGACAGUGGAGCUCCUGAGAACUCCGUUGAGACACCACAUGAGAAGCCAGAAGCAAGGGCUAGUAAGGAUUAUUCUGGCUUUCGAGGCAAUACAAUCCCCAGGGGAGCAGCUGGAAAAAUCAGGGAACAGAGACGCCAGUUUAGCCAUAGGGCUAUACCUCAGGGAGUGACUCAACGUAAUGGCAAAGAGCAAUAUGUGCCACCCAGAUCACCAAAGUAA